GCUAAAUAACAUGAAUGUAUGAAAAUUUGUUUUAUUUAUUGAGCGACAUCAAAUAUAUAUUCUAGUUUAAGGGGUAGGAAGCAAAGCCACAUACUUUAAAGUGCCGGUUAUUAGUUGAAGGCGUGCCCAAAUGUAAUACCACUUACAACAUGGAGAACUUCCGUAGGCUUGUCAAGAAGCAUUAAACCCCAAAGCUUGAAAUUCAUGAAAUUAGCUUUUCAACACCAUCCGAAACUCAUUAGUGGGGAAGCAGAAUAAGGUGUAGUACUACUUAUAAAUUGUGGAAUAAUUCUAAGUUGAAAACAUAAAGUACUAUAAAUUAUAUGUAAGAGACUUCAAACCACCAUGCAAUUCUGACUAUUGAUUAUUUUUGAAGAAUCUUCUCUCACGAUACGACGGACGGCGGCUUUGACGAGUUCCAGGCUCUUUGGUGCAGAGGCUUAGUUGAAUGUUGUGAACGAAGCGGUUCAUAUCGGAUACUUCAACCGAUGUUCUGUCAACUAAUAUAUAUCAUAUUUGCAAAUAUCAAGAGCAUUUCUUGUAUUAGAUUACCUAGAUGCAGAAAAUCCCAAUUGUAAUGCAACG